UAUCUACAGACUACAAUAUGCUAGAGCAAUAAAGCUGAAUGUGCAGUCACUUCUCUCCUCAUAGUUGUACUUGGAAUAAGUAACUUGGCUUUGGCUUGACAUGCAUUUGUUGUCUAUAGACAAUUCUAUUAGUCAUGAGGAGUACAUGCAAGUGAGUUCGAGAAUUGAGUAAUAAAUUAGAUUUAGCACUUGUUUCUGUGGUAUGAAGGGGAGCCUUGGAGCAACAGUAAAGUUGUCUCGUUGUGACCUAUAGGUCACGGGCUUGCGCCGUGGAAUCAACAACUGAUGCUUGCAUCAGGAUAGGCUGUCUACAUCACACCCCUUGGAGUGCGGCCCUUCCCCGGACCCUGCGUGAAUGCAGGAUGCUUCGUGCACCGGGCUGCCUUACUUGUUUAUGUGGUAUGCUUUUUGUCUUCAAUAUGCUCAAUCCGUUGCUAGAAGAAAGAAAAUGAUGUUACUUCGUUAGAUUUUACAUAGUCAGUAAAAUAUAUGAAUAUUCAGACUAUUAAGGCGGAAGCAAAAAUCAAUCAUUGGGUGUAUCCAGUUUAUUUUAAGGGGUCGUUUGGUAGGUUGCAUUAGAUAAAAUAAUGCAUGCAU